AGUGGACGCUGGCGGUAGGCCUAACACAUGCAAGUCGAACGGCAGCACAGUAAGAGCUUGCUCUUACGGGUGGCGAGUGGCGGACGGGUGAGGAAUACAUCGGAAUCUACUUUUUCGUGGGGGGUAACGUAGGGAAACUUACGCUAAUACCGCAUACGACCUACGGGUGAAAGCAGGGGAUCUUCGGACCUUGCGCGAUUGAAUGAGCCGAUGUCGGAUUAGCUAGUUGGCGGGGUAAAGGCCCACCAAGGCGACGAUCCGUAGCUGGUCUGAGAGGAUGAUCAGCCACACUGGAACUGAGACACGGUCCAGACUCCUACGGGAGGCAGCGGUGGCGAAUAUUGGACAAUGGGCGCAAGCCUGAUCCAGCCAUACCGCGUGGGUGAAGAAGGCCUUCGGGUUGUAAAGCCCUUUUGUUGGGAAAGAAAAGCAGCAGGUUAAUACCCCGCUGUUCUGACGGUACCCAAAGAAUAAGCACCGGCUAACUUCGU
rnacentral:rRNA from 1 species